rnacentral:sRNA from 1 species
GUGAAUGGGAAUAGGUUUCCAGCUGGAAGUUUAUCUAGUCUGACAACCUGGAUUACCGCCUAGGAGCUAUUCACUCCCUGGUAUAUAAGCUGCCAGAAAAGAACCGAGAGAUGCUGGAACUUCUGAUAAGACACUUGGUCAAUGUGUGUGAGCACAGCAAAGAGAAUCUUAUGACCCCCUCCAACAUGGGAGUGAUCUUUGGGCCCACCCUGAUGAGAGCUCAGGAGGACACUGUGGCCGCCAUGAUGAACAUCAAAUUCCAGAACAUAGUGGUGGAAAUACUAAUCGAGCACUUUGGCAAGAUCUAUUUAGGUCCACCUGAGGAAAGCGCUGCACCGCCAGUGCCUCCGCCUCGGGUGACAGCAAGAAGGCACAAACCAAUCACGAUUUCAAAGCGCUUGCUGCGAGAAAGGACGGUUUUCUAUACUUCUUCCCUGGAUGAAAGCGAAGAUGAAAUCCAACAUCAAACACCGAAUGGUACUAUCACCAGCAGCAUAGAACCCCCCAAGCCACCACAACACCCCAAACUACCUAUUCAGAGGAGUGGGGAAACUGAUCCUGGGAGGAAGUCCCCAAGCAGGCCUAUUUCGGAUGGCAAGUUGGAGCCCUGCCCAGAGGUGGACGUGGGGAAGUUGGUGUCUAGGCUGCAGGAUGGAGGGACCAAGAUUACCCCAAAGGCCACCAAUGGACCCAUGCCAGGCUCUGGGCCCACCAAGACCCCCUCUUUCCACAUAAAGAGACCAGCUCCCCGGCCCCUGGCCCACCACAAGGAGG